UACAGAGGGUGCAAGCGUUGUUCGGAAUUAUUGGGCGUAAAGCGCGUGUAGGCGGCUUUGCAAGUCGGGUGUGAAAUCCCUCGGCUCAACCGAGGAAGUGCGCCCGAAACUGCAGAGCUUGAGUACUGGAGAGGAUGGUGGAAUUCCCCAAGUAGAGGUGAAAUUCGUAGAUAUGGGGAGGAACACCGGUGGCGAAGGCGACCAUCUGGACAGAUAUUGACGCUGAGGUGCGAAAGCGUGGGGAGCAAACAGGG
rnacentral:rRNA from 1 species